AGUGAACGCUGGCGGUAGGCCUAACACAUGCAAGUCGAACGGCAGCACAGUAAGAGCUUGCUCGUACGGGUGGCGAGUGGCGGACGGGUGAGGAAUACAUCGGAAUCUACUUUUUCGUGGGGGAUAACGUAGGGAAACUUACGCUAAUACCGCAUACGACCUACGGGUGAAAGCAGGGGAUCUUCGGACCUUGCGCGAUUGAAUGAGCCGAUGGCGGAUUAGCUAGUCGGCGGGGUAAAGGCCCACCAAGGCGACGAUCCGUAGCUGGUCUGAGAGGAUGAUCAGCCACACUGGAACUGAGACACGGUCCAGACUCCUACGGGAGGCAGCAGUGGGGAAUAUUGGACAAUGGGCGCAAGCCUGAUCCAGCCAUACCGCGUGGGUGAAGAAGGCCUUCGGGUUGUAAAGCCCUUUUGUUGGGAAAGAAAAGCAGCAGGUUAAUACCCCGCUGUUCUGACGGUACCCAAAGAAUAAGCACCGGCUAACUUCGUG
rnacentral:rRNA from 1 species